rnacentral:rRNA from 1 species
GAUGAACGCUGGCGGCGUGCCUAAUACAUGCAAGUCGAGCGAACAGAUGAUGAGCUUGCUCCUCUGACGUUAGCGGCGGACGGGUGAGUAACACGUGGAUAACCUACCUAUAAGACUGGGAUAACUUCGGGACUCCGGAGCUAAUACCGUAUAAUAUAUUGCACCGCAUGGUUCAAUAGUGAAAGACGGUUUUGCUGUCACUUAUAGCUGGAUCCGCGCCGCAUUAGCUAGUUGGGCAGGUAACGGCUUAUUAAGGCAACGAUGCGUAGCCGACGGGAGAGGGUGAUAGGCCACCUGGGAAGGGAAACAGGGACAAGAGGACUGAGGGAGGCAGCAGUAGGGAACGGGACGCAGUAGGCGAAAGUAUGACGGAGCAACGCCGCGUGAGUGAUGAAGGUGUUGGGAGCGGAAAAAUCGGUUAUGAGGGAAGAACAAAUGCGGAAGGAACUAAGCACGGAUUGACGGUACCUAAUAAGAAAGCAACGGCUAACUACGUG